rnacentral:rRNA from 1 species
UACGAAGGGGGGCUAGCGUUGUUCGGAAUUACUGGGCGUAAAGCGUGCGCAGGCGGUUUUUCAGUCAGAGGUGAAAGCCCCGGGCUCAACCCGGGAAUGGCCUUUGAGACUGGGAUGGCUAGAGUGUGAGAGAGGUGAGUGGAAUUCCCAGUGUAGAGGUGAAAUUCGUAGAUAUUGGGAAGAACACCCGUGGCUAAGGCGGUUCUCUAGUACGGUACUGACGCUGAGACGCGAAAGCGUGGGGGAGCGAACAGGG